CAGUAGCCACGGGAAUACGUAGGUGGCGAGCGUUGUCCGGAAUCAUUGGGCGUAAAGGGAGCGCAGGCGGGCAUGUAAGUCUUUCUUAAAAGUGCGGGGCUCAACCCCGUGAUGGGAAAGAAACUACAUGUCUUGAGUACAGGAGAGGAAAGCGGAAUUCCCAGUGUAGCGGUGAAAUGCGUAGAUAUUGGGAGGAACACCAGUGGCGAAGGCGGCUUUCUGGACUGCAACUGACGCUGAGGCUCGAAAGCCAGGGGAGCGAACGGGAUUAGAUACCCGUGUAGUCCCUGUCUCUUAUACA
rnacentral:rRNA from 1 species